GAAAAAUUAGUUAAAUUCAAUAUAACAUUAGAAUGUCAAACUAAAAUUAUCCAAAAGGAUAUUUUUCU
rnacentral:tRNA from 1 species